AUUGAACGCUGGCGGCAGGCCUAACACAUGCAAGUCGAGCGGAUGAAGGGAGCUUGCUCCUGGAUUCAGCGGCGGACGGGUGAGUAAUGCCUAGGAAUCUGCCUGGUAGUGGGGGAUAACGUCCGGAAACGGGCGCUAAUACCGCAUACGUCCUGAGGGAGAAAGUGGGGGAUCUUCGGACCUCACGCUAUCAGAUGAGCCUAGGUCGGAUUAGCUAGUUGGUGGGGUAAAGGCCUACCAAGGCGACGAUCCGUAACUGGUCUGAGAGGAUGAUCAGUCACACUGGAACUGAGACACGGUCCAGACUCCUACGGGAGGCAGCAGUGGGGAAUAUUGGACGAAGGGCGAAAGCCUGAUCCAGCAAUGCCGCGUGUAUGAAGAAGGUCUUCGGAUUGUAAAGCACUUUAAGUUGGGAGGAAGGGCAGUAAGUUAAUACCUGGCUGUUUUGACGUUACCAACAGAAUAAGCACCGGCUAACUUCGUG
rnacentral:rRNA from 1 species